UAACACGUGAGUAACCUGCCCUUAACUCUGGGAUAAGCCUGGGAAACUGGGUCUAAUACUGGAUAUUGACUUUUCACCGCAUGGUGGUUGGUUGAAAGCUUUAGUGGUUUUGGAUGGACUCGCGGCCUAUCAGCUUGUUGGUGAGGUAAUGGCUUACCAAGGCGACGACGGGUAGCCGGCCUGAGAGGGUGACCGGCCACACUGGGACUGAGACACGGCCCAGACUCCUACGGGAGGCAGCAGUGGGGAAUAUUGCACAAUGGGCGAAAGCCUGAUGCAGCGACGCCGCGUGAGGGAUGACGGCCUUCGGGUUGUAAACCUCUUUCAGUAGGGAACAAGGCUACACGUUGUGUGGUUGAGGGUACUUGCAGAAGAAGCACCGGCUAACUACGUGCCAGCAGCCGCGGUAAUACGUAGGGUGCAAGCGUUAUCCGGAAUUAUUGGGCGUAAAGAGCUCGUAGGCGGUUUGUCGCGUCUGCCGUGAAAGUCCGGGGCUCAACUCCGGAUCUGCGGUGGGUACGGGCAGACUAGAGUGAUGUAGGGGAGACUGGAAUUCCUGGUGUAGCGGUGAAAUGCGCAGAUAUCAGGAGGAACACCGAUGGCGAAGGCAGGUCUCUGGGCAUUAACUGACGCUGAGGAGCGAAAGCAUGGGGAGCGAACAGGAUUAGAUACCCUGGUAGUCCAUGCCGUAAACGUUGGGCACUAGGUGUGGGGGACAUUCCACGUUUUCCGCGCCGUAGCUAACGCAUUAAGUGCCCCGCCUGGGGGAGUACGGGCCGCAAGGCUAAAACUCAAAGGAAUUUGACGGGGGGCCCGCACAAGCGGGCGGAGCAUGCCGGAUUAAUUUCGAUGCAACGCCAAAGAACCUUUACCAAAGGCUUUGACAUGGAACUGGGAAACGCUUAAGAAAUAAAUUGCCCCGCU
rnacentral:rRNA from 1 species